UUUUUUUUUGGCAACCGAUAUUAAGUAGAACGUGCCAAAUUAUCCACUUUAACAUUCAAAUCAUAAGCUUAUAAAAUCUUUCUAAACCACUCUUAUUAUUUUGUUUUAAGAAUU
rnacentral:sRNA from 1 species